rnacentral:rRNA from 1 species
CAGCCGUAAACUAUGCGCGUUAGGUGUACUGGUGACCACGAGUCACCGGGGUGCCGAAGGGAAACCGUGAAACGUGCCGCCUGGGAAGUACGGUCGCAAGGCUGAAACUUAAAGGAAUUGGCGGGGGAGCACCACAACAGGUGGAGCCUGCGGUUUAAUUUGGACUCAACGCCGGGAAGCUCACCGGAUAGGACAGCAGAAUGAUUGCCGGGCUGAAGACCCUGCAUGACUAGCUGAGAGGAGGUGCAUGGCGUCAGUGACU